rnacentral:rRNA from 1 species
GACGAACGCUGGCGGCGUGCUUAACACAUGCAAGUCGAACGGAAAGGCCCUGCUUUUGUGGGGUGCUCGAGUGGCGAACGGGUGAGUAACACGUGAGUAACCUGCCCUUGACUUUGGGAUAACUUCAGGAAACUGGGGCUAAUACCGGAUAGGAGCUCCUGCUGCAUGGUGGGGGUUGGAAAGUUUCGGCGGUUGGGGAUGGACUCGCGGCUUAUCAGCUUGUUGGUGGGGUAGUGGCUUACCAAGGCUUUGACGGGUAGCCGGCCUGAGAGGGUGACCGGCCAAAGUGGGACGGGGAUACGCCCCACACCCCUACGGGAGGGAGGAGGGGGGAAUAUUGCAAAAGGGGGGGAAGCCGGGUGCAGCAACGCCGGGUGCGGGAGGACGGCCUUCGGGUUGUAAACCGUUUUCGCCUGUGACGAAGGGUGGGGACGGGAAAGGGGGAAAAAACACCCGGCAAACUCGGG